UUGACAACCCAAUAACACCAGGGAAAAGAAAAGUUAAUUCUUCCCGCAGUACUUACAAAUGCAGUGGGGUCUAAAACCAACAGUUGAGAUGGCAAGUGCACAGAAACCUGAAAGCCUUCAAAUGCAGUGAUGGAGAGUCUAAUUUCUUAAUACUGCACUUUCGGUACCCAAGCUGGCUAUAAAAAGAAGCAUCAUUAUGAUUCCAAUGCCAUUUAUGAAGACACUGAAGCUCAGAUAAAUGUUAAUAUGACAUGCCUGUUUAUAUUGUAUUAUGUAUUUUUAAUUUAUGGAAUUACAUAUACAUUUUUACAAUUACUGGGAAUCUAGUCUGUACUACACAAAAUUAGGGAGGCGGGUAAGAGAUCAACUUGGAAACGGAUGCGCCAUUAGGGAAUCAAUUCCAACAUAACCCUGUCUAGCUGUAUUGCUCAUCCUACGUAAGGAAAGGAAUUAAGUCUUAUUUGUGUCCACAAGCAGAAGAUAGACCUUGUUAAAUGGCAACAUCAACACACAAUGCUUUUUAGUGGAGUUCUAUUCCUCAUGCUCUUGGAUUUGAGGUUUAGGAAGGUGAAUCAAGCUGGAUUGCCAGACUUUACCACAAGCAAUGCUUCUUACAGACUGUUUGGGCAGCAAACAGAUCACAAAGUGGAUAAGCAUCUGGCUGAAAACUGAGCACAAGCUACCACAAAUGGUAUGCCUAUGACAAACAUCAAGGGGUUCUCAAAAUACAUCUGUAAGACAUGACUAGAAUUAUUCUAGAACAGUGGCUAGAAUGUUAAGAGGAGAGAGUGGAGAAGCCAAUCAGCCAAGAACAAACAAUAUCAAACCCCAUUUUAAACAGAUCCUACUGCCAGGCUGUUGAGGAAAAAAGGCACCCUGAUGUCCUGCUUAACAUAGUGAGUUUACUCAAACAGCCCUGUUGUAAGUCAAAAUGCAUUUAUUCACUUAUUGUGGGCCUCAGUGCACUCAUUUAUCCAUGGUUCUACUUGAAAAGAUUUUCACAGCCUCUCACAGAAGUCUCAUUGUUUGGCCUCACUAAAGACACAUUACCACUCUGAAGUUUUAAUGAAUCAAACUGCAAGUCACUCAUAUUUAAAGACUACAUGAACUAAAUAAGUGUGGUUCUGCAGACCAUACUCAAUAAUAAGGGGAAAGAGAAAAAAAAUUGGUAAGUAACUCAUGCAACAGUCUUAUAAACAUAUGGUAAGGCAGAUGCAUUGUCUUCUUUCAAGGGCCAACAACUUAAUCUUCUGAGGCAAGCAAUGGAUGGUGCAUUGCCUAGGAUGAGACUACCUUGACAUGACUUCCAAGUUCAGGGUUGCUAAGUCAGGCACAAUAAUGAGCAGUGCAGACCACCACUAAAACAUGGUUUUCGUAUUAGAAGUAUUACCCCACAUGGCAACGGAACAAAAAACUGGAUGGACCUAUAAGGUUCAGCGCACCUCACGUAAGCCACCAAGGACCUCUGAAGUUGGGCAUCCAGAGAAGGGCCUCAGAGGUACACAAACACAGAAAGGACGCAGGCAGAACAGUUCCCAUAAAUGGAACUCUCACCAUGUUGGAUGAGAUCUGAGAUUCUCAUAGCACCAAUUUAAUCCAUCAUGUACCAAAUUCUACAGUUAGUCACUAAACCCCAAAUCUCUUACUCUGCCAGCUAACACUGUCACCAGGAAGUGAUUUCCAUGAAAAAAUCGUGGGCUUACAAAUAGUGAGUGACCCAAAAGAAAUACAUCAUCUUGGUCACAGCCACAUUAGUCCCAGACACUCAGGUUUUUUUAGUAUGGGAUUUAAAAGUACCAACCCCUGCAUGAGCUCAGAGAGAAGGCUGUUGAGACACGGAUAUACCUUUGACUAGUUCAUGAAUAGCUGAACAGCUGCCAGACAAACCUGAAGAGUUAUUACAUUACUCAGGACAGGCAAAGAAGGGAGUCAGAUACCUCUUAUGUUAAGUAAACUAGUCUACAAGGGCCUUCUUUCACACUUGAAAUCUUGUCAGUUUACAAAUAGGCAGUCCUGGCUUCUUGAAAGUCAUUUAAUUGGACACCACAUGCCUAUAAAGCUUCCUCUAGACAGGACACAAAAAUUCAGGGGGAACAGCUUAAAAGUUUGAGCAGAGUGAGGUGGCCUGGUUCUGAGUGAUCACUCCUGGCCAGACUCAGACUGAUGGUAUCUGUAGUACAGUUAAGAACUGCACCCAUCUGAACCAGUACAAGAUGAACCAUUGGUCUCUCCUUAGCAUGGCCAAGAUUUUUGCUGAAAGAUUCCAGCACAAAGUUAAACACUUCCCUUCCUCGCAAACUGAGAUGUCUCUGGCUCAAGCAGUUUUUUUUCCCUACCAUUACCAGAGUCUGUAGUUUAGGUGAAAAAGA